rnacentral:rRNA from 1 species
CCUACGGGGGGCAGCAGUGGGGAAUAUUGGGCAAUGGGCGCAAGCCUGACCCAGCAACGCCGCGUGAAGGAAGAAGGCUUUCGGGUUGUAAACUUCUUUUGUCAGGGACGAAGCAAGUGACGGUACCUUACGAAUAAGCCACGGCUAACUACGUGCCAGCAGCCGCGGUAAUACGUAGGUGGCAAGCGUUAUCCGGAUUUACUGGGUGUAAAGGGCGUGUAGGCGGGACUGCAAGUCAGAUGUGAAAACCACGGGCUCAACCUGUGGCGUGCAUGUGAAACUGUAGUUCUUGAGUACAGUAGAGGCAGACGGAAUUCCUAGUGUAGCGGUGAAAUGCGUAGAGAUUAGGAGGAACACCAGUGGCGAAGGCAGUCUGCUGGGCAGCAACUGACGCUGAGGCGCGAAAGCGUGGGGAGCAAACAGGAUUAGAUACCCUUGUAGUC